UACAGAGGUGGCAAGCGUUGUUCGGAAUUACUGGGCGUAAAGGGCGCGUAGGCGGUCCCGUCAGUCCCUUGUGAAAUCCCCCGGCUCAACUGGGGAACUGCAAGGGAUACAGCGGGGCUUGAGUUCGGGAGAGGGAAGCGGAAUUCCGGGUGUAGCGGUGGAAUGCGUAGAGAUCCGGAAGAACACCGGUGGCGAAGGCGGCCUGCUGGGCAGUAGCUGACACUGAGGCGCGACAGCGUGGGGAGCAAACAGG
rnacentral:rRNA from 1 species